rnacentral:rRNA from 1 species
AGAGUUCGAUCCUGGCUCAGGAUGAACGCUGGCGGCGCGCCUAACACAUGCAAGUCGAACGGCACCUAUCUUCGGAUAGAAGCGAGUGGCGAACGGCUGAGUAACACGUGGAGAACCUGCCCCCUCCCCCGGGAUAGCCGCCCGAAAGGACGGGUAAUACCGGAUACACCGGGGUGCCGCAUGGCACCCCGGCUAAAGCCCCGACGGGAGGGGAUGGCUCCGCGGCCCAUCAGGUAGACGGCGGGGUGACGGCCCACCGUGCCGACAACGGGUAGCCGGGUUGAGAGACCGACCGGCCAGAUUGGGACUGAGACACGGCCCAGACUCCUACGGGAGGCAGCAGUGGGGAAUCUUGCGCAAUGGGGGGAACCCUGACGCAGCGACGCCGCGUGCGGGACGGAGGCCUUCGGGUCGUAAACCGCUUUCAGCAGGGAAGAGUCAAGACUGUACCUGCAGAAGAAGCCCCGGCUAACUACGUGCCAGCAGCCGCGGUAAUACGUAGGGGGCGAGCGUUAUCCGGAUUCAUUGGGCGUAAAGCGCGCGUAGGCGGCCCGGCAGGCCGGGGGUCGAAGCGGGGGGCUCAACCCCCCGAAGCCCCCGGAACCUCCGCGGCUUGGGUCCGGUAGGGGAGGGUGGAACACCCGGUGUAGCGGUGGAAUGCGCAGAUAUCGGGUGGAACACCGGUGGCGAAGGCGGCCCUCUGGGCCGAGACCGACGCUGAGGCGCGAAAGCUGGGGGAGCGAACAGGAUUAGAUACCCUGGUAGUCCCAGCCGUAAACGAUGGACGCUAGGUGUGGGGGGACGAUCCCCCCGUGCCGCA